rnacentral:piRNA from 1 species
CUGAGUUUUCGCCAUUUACACC